rnacentral:rRNA from 1 species
UACGUAGGGGGCUAGCGUUGUCCGGAAUCAUUGGGCGUAAAGCGCGUGUAGGCGGUCCGGUAAGUCCGCUGUGAAAGUCGAGGGCUCAACCUCGAAUGCCGGUGGAUACUGUCGGGCUUGAGUACGGGAGAGGCGAGUGGAAUUCCUGGUGUAGCGGUGAAAUGCGCAGAUAUCAGGAAGAACACCAAUGGCGAAAGCAGCUUCUGGGACGGUACUGACGCUGAGACGCGAAAGCGUGGGGAGCGAACAGGAUUGAGACC